UGCAUGGAGUGUCAUUGAGAUAGGGUGUUGGCUACAUAGUCCGGGACAGCCUAAAAUUCUCUUUGUAUCUUAGUCUCACCUUGAACUCCCAAUCCUCUACCUCUUCCUCUAAAGUGCUGAGUUUACAAGUGCAACCCAUUACAUCUGGCAUGGAGCAUGUAUGUUUAAUGUUUAAAUAAUCCACCUUGAUAGGUACAGAGUCAUGUCAAAGUUGUCUAGAAGCUUAAGUCCAGAUUCAGUCACAGCCUCUACAUGAUCUUGGACAAGUCAUUUCAGCUCUUUCGACCCCAGGGCUGGAUCUCACAAACUAAGCAACCAAGCUUAGCAUCCAUUCUGGAUUUAACUGACUUUGUAUCUAAAUUUGGUAGCUUAGGUACCAAAGUGACAGGACUUAUAACAGAGUUCAACUACUGGCCUCUGUUUCACCAUCCUUUCUCACACCUUCACUUUUGUCUUGGCAUCACUGUGGGCAAGGUAUAGUUCCUUUUUAAAAUAACUUGUGACUUAGCAAUAAGUCUUCCUUUUGGCCAAUGAGACAUAACACACUUAGGUGAUUGAUCAGUGAGACUCAUGCAAUUAUACCUCAGCCAUCACCAUACUCAGGCUAUUUGUUUGGUCUAAUGAGGAUGAGCUAGAAGCAUCUGAUUUAGAUCCUCAGGCCUAUUAACAGGAAGCAGAGCUUUCUUAGGCAACCUUCCUAGGCAAGAGAAAAUUGAUUUUCAUUUUAAGACUUUUGGGGUGUCUAUUAUAAUAGUGUAAGAAAAUACUAAGAACUUGAGGAAAGUGAAAGAGAAUACGGAGUCCUGACAGGAGACAGACAGCAGAGUAUCUCCCUUUUCACUUAACUAGUCUCUCUAGUGAAUGAAAUGUAGAAAGACGAAUUGAUUGGCCCUUAUUUCUCAUUUCGUUUUACUUAAUGGCUUAAAAUAUUUGACAAAAUAUUUUUGUAAGAGUUCUCUAAUUGCUAGAUUGCCAUCAAGAAAAAGUAUAUUCCGUUUUUCUACACACAUUCUGGUUUGUUUCUGUGUGUUUUGUGUGUGUGUGUGUGUGUUAUUGUGUAUGUGUGUGUGAUCAUGUGUAACCAUUUAACUAUCUUCACCUUCAAAAGAAGGCUGAAUUACAUCAUGAGUUUUGUAAUUACCAACG
rnacentral:lncRNA from 1 species